UAGCCAUGCUAGUCGUGCGAGUUUAGACUCGCGGCACCGAGCUCAGUAACACGUGGCCAAACUACCCUGUAGAGACGUAUAACCUCGGGAAACUGAGGCUAAUUCGUCAUACCGGUUGAACGGUUGAACUCCAUCAACCUCGAAAUGCCCCGGCGCUACAGGAUGUGGCUGCGGCCGAUUAGGUUGACGGUGGGGUAACGGCCCACCGUGCCAAUAAUCGGAACAGGUUGUGAGAGCAAGAACCUGGAGACGGCAUCUGAGACAAGAUGCCGGGCCCUACGGGGCGCAGCAGGCGCGAAACCUUUACACUGCACGCACGUGCGAUAAGGGGACUCCGAGUGCGAGGGCAUAUCGUCC
rnacentral:rRNA from 1 species